ACGGGAGGCAGCAGUGGGGAAUAUUGGGCAAUGGGCGCAAGCCUGACCCAGCAACGCCGCGUGAAGGAAGAAGGCUUUCGGGUUGUAAACUUCUUUUAGCAGGGACGAAGGACGUGACGGUACCUGCAGAAAAAGCAACGGCUAACUACGUGCCAGCAGCCGCGGUAAUACGUAGGUUGCAAGCGUUGUCCGGAUUUACUGGGUGUAAAGGGCGUGUAGGCGGAGCUGCAAGUCAGAUGUGAAAUCCCGGGGCUUAACCCCGGAACUGCAUUUGAAACUGUAGCCCUUGAGUGUCGGAGAGGCAAGCGGAAUUCCUAGUGUAGCGGUGAAAUGCGUAGAUAUUAGGAGGAACACCAGUGGCGAAGGCGGCUUGCUGGACGACAACUGACGCUGAGGCGCGAAAGCGUGGGGAGCAAACAGGAUUAGAUACCCUGGUA
rnacentral:rRNA from 1 species